CUGCUGUGCAAUGGCGGCCAACAGCAGCCUCCCGGUAGUAUGUGCAGCCUACUGACCGCACGGGUGGCCCUAAGGGACCGCGGAGACAGCG
rnacentral:snoRNA from 1 species